rnacentral:rRNA from 1 species
UACGAAGGGAGCUAGCGUUGCUCGGAUUCACUGGGCGUAAAGCGCGUGUAGGCGGUUUGAUAAGUCAGGAGUGAAACCCUAGGGCUUAACUCCGGAAUUGCGUUUAAUACUGUCAAGCUAGAGUAUGGUAGAGGGUGGUGGAAUUCCCAGUGUAGAGGUGAAAUUCGUAGAUAUUGGGAGGAACACCGAUUGCGAAAGCAGCUAGCUGGGCCAUAAUUGACGCUAAGGCGCGAAAGCGUGGGGAUCAAACAGG